GUCUACGGCCAUGACAACCUGAACAAGCCUGAUAUUGGAUCAUCUGAGAAGCUAAGCAGGGUUGGGCCUGGUUAGUACUUGGAUGGGAGACCACCUAGGAAGACCAGGUGCUAUAGGCG
rnacentral:rRNA from 1 species